rnacentral:sRNA from 1 species
CGCCAGUCGGCCUGCUUCUCGUAGCCGAUCCUUUCGGCGACGUCGGUUUCGAAGUCGCCAUCCGGCGGAUGAGUGCCGAACACCAUGAGCGUCGCGCCAUUGUCAUCGGCAUGAAAUCUGACGCCGUCGCC